GACGGGGGGUCCAAGCGUUGUUCGGAAUCAUUGGGCGUAAAGCGGGCGUAGGUGGUCUUGCAAGUCAGGCGUGAAAGCCCUGGGCUCAACCCAGGAAGUGCUUUUGAAACUGCAAGACUUGAAUGUGGGAGAGGGUAGUAGAAUUCCUGGUGUAGUGGUGAAAUACGUAGAUAUCAGGAGGAAUACCGGUGGCGAAGGCGGCUACCUGGCCCAACAUUGACACUGAGGCCCAAAAGCGUGGGGAGCAAACAGG
rnacentral:rRNA from 1 species